GUAGGGAAUCUUCCACAAUGGACGAAAGUCUGAUGGAGCAACGCCGCGUGAGUGAAGAAGGGUUUCGGCUCGUAAAACUCUGUUAUUGGAGAAGAAGGAUGAGGUAAGUAACUGUACUUCAUUUGACGGUACCCAACCAGAAAGUCACGGCUAACUACGUGCCAGCAGCCGCGGUAAUACGUAGGUGGCGAGCGUUAUCCGGAAUUAUUGGGCGUAAAGCGAGUGCAGGCGGUUGUAUAAGUCUGAUGUGAAAGCCCUCGGCUCAACCGAGGAAUUGCAUCAGAAACUGUAUAACUUGAGUGCAGAAGAGGAGAGUGGAACUCCAUGUGUAGCGGUGGAAUGCGUAGAUAUAUGGAAGAACACCAGUGGCGAAGGCGGCUCUCUGGUCUGUAACUGACGCUGAGGCUCGAAAGCAUGGGUAGCGAACAGGAUUAGAAACCCUAGUAGUCC
rnacentral:rRNA from 1 species